UAGGGCUACACACGUGCUACAAUGGCAGGUAUAACGCGUUGCCAACUCGCGAGAGUGCGCUAAUCGCUAAAAGCCUGUCCCAGUUCAGAUUGUAGUCUGCAACUCGACUACAUGAAGUUGGAAUCGCUAGUAAUCGCAGAUCAGCAUUGCUGCGGUGAAUACGUUCCCGGGUCUUGUACACACCGCCCGUCAAACCAUGGGAGUAAAUUGCACCCAAAGACGCAACGCCGCGCCAAUGCGGUUUGUGUUUAAGGUGUGGCUUAUGACUGGGGUUAAGUCGUAACAAGGUAACUGUACCGG
rnacentral:rRNA from 1 species